rnacentral:rRNA from 1 species
AUUGAACGCUGGCGGCAGGCCUAACACAUGCAAGUCGAGCGGAGCGGCGGACGGGUGAGUAAUGCCUAGGAAUCUGCCUGUUAGUGGGGGAUAACGUCCGGCAACGGGCGCUAAUACCGCAUCCUAUCAGUUGAGCCUAGGUCGGAUUAGCUAGUUGGUGGGGUAAAGGACUACCAAGGCGACGAUCCGUAACUGGUCUGAGAGGAUGAUCAGUCACACUGGAAAUGAGACACAGUCCAGACUCCUACGGGAGGCAGCAGUGGGGACUAUUGGCUAAUGGGCGAAAGCCUGAUCCAGCCAUGGGGCGUGUGUGAAGAAGGUCUUCGGAUUGUAAAGCACUUUAAGUUGGGAGGCGUUACCAACAGAAUAAGCAACGGCUAACUGCGUGCCAGCAGCCGCGGUAAUUC